CGGCGGCCAAGACAGCACGGAGUAGACUGACUAGGGCGUUUCGGGAGGGUAAGGGGUAAACGCCGCGGCCUGCUUUUCAGAACUCUCCCCCGCCUUGUUCGUGGCUCCGGGCCCCUGCCGCCCUCACACCGGUAACCUCGCAACGCUCCCGUGCUGCGGCCUGUGGCAGGAUUGCCUGCGACGUCCUCCCUGCCUGGUGACCCUCUGGCCGGCAAGAUGAAGCUCUCCCUGGUGGCUGCAGUGCUGCUG
rnacentral:other from 1 species